UCAAGCAGAGGGCAAGUCUGGUGCCAGCAGCCGCGGUAAUUCCAGCUCUGCUAAUACAUAGAAUUAUUGCUGCGGUUAAAAAGCUCGUAGUUGGAUUCGUAUCGGUACCCUGGAACCCUCCGGGUGUUUCUGGGUGUUAUCGAUUUAUCGUAAUGUUCGGUUUUGAGUCCUUAACAGGAUUCUUAACAGGCAUUGCAAGUUUACUUUGAACAAAUCAGAGUGCUUCAAACAGGCGUUUUCGCUUGAAUGAUCGUGCAUGGAAUAAUAGAAAACGAUUUCGGUUCAGUUUUAUUGGUUUUACGGACUGAGAUAAUGGUUAACAGAGACAAACGGGGGCAUUUGUAUGGCCCCGUGAGAGGUGAAAUUCUUGGACCGUGGCCAGACAAACUACAGCGAAAGCAUUUGCCAAGAAUGUUUUUAUUAAUCAAGAACGAAAGUCAGAGGUUCGAAGGCGAUCAGAUACCGCCCUAGUUCUGACCGUAAACGAUGCCAACUAGCGAUCCGCCGAUGGAAAUUAUAUUGCCUUGGUGGGGAGCUUCCC
rnacentral:rRNA from 1 species